UGGCUGAGCAGUAAAGCGCUCGCCUUCCAACCCGGUGGCCCCGGGUUCGAAUCCUGG
rnacentral:tRNA from 1 species